rnacentral:rRNA from 1 species
UACGACUACAUAUCAGGCAUAUCAAUAAGCGGAGGAAAAGAAACUAACUAGGAUUCCCUCAGUAACGGCGAGUGAAGCGGGAAGAGCUCAAAUUUGAAAUCUUCAAGGUUCCACCUUGACGAAUUGUAGUUUAAAGAAGUGUUUUCUGUUGGAGUUUUGGUAAAAGUUCUUUGGAAUAGGACAUCAUAGAGGGUGAGAAUCCCGUAUUUGACCAUUAUUUUCAGCUGUGUGAUACACUUUCGAAGAGUCGGAUUGUUUGGGAAUGCAGUCCAAAAUGGGUGGUAAAUUUCAUCUAAAGCUAAAUAUUGGCGAGAGACCGAUAGCGAACAAGUACCGUGAGGGAAAGAUGAAAAGAACUUUGAAAAGAGAGUUAAACAGUACGUGAAAUUGUCAAAAGGGAAGCGUUUGACACCAGUGUUGUUUUCUCGAAAAUCAAUUAAAAAAAGUUGGAUUUUGUGUUGUAUUGACCUUAACAGCUUGCUUCACUCUUUUCCAGCUUUUUUUAAUGCACUUUUCGUUUAACAAGUCAACAUCAAUUUCUUUUGUUGUAAAAGGGUCAUUGGAAGGUGGCUUUCUCUUCGGAGAAAGUGUUUAUAGCCUUUGGCCUCUGCAAUCGGAGAGAUCGAGGUCUGCAGCGUAGAUCCUUCGGGGUUAGAUACAUAUGUGCUAAGCUACAGCUUUUCAUAGACAACUUGUUGACUAUGUUUAGUCUUGGGACUUACCUCGCUUAGUGCUAUUUUACCUACGCUUAGGAUGUUGAGCGCAUGUCUCUCUCU